UUAUAGGGUGGUAGAGUCUCCUUCUCUGGAGGUUUUCAAGCAGAGGCAGCAUGACCAUUUGUCAAGAGGGCUUUGGUUUUGGUGGGGAGGGCUUAUAGUCUCUCCUUUCUUUCCCAAGGUAGGAGCAGCAGCAAAGGCCAGUCUUUUUGGAAAAUGCGGGGGGGGGGGGGCUGAUCCCCAAGAAGGAAGGAAGAGAGGAAGGAAGGAAGAGAUGAAGGAAGGAAGAGAGCAAGGGCAGUUGGGAUUUUUGGGAUUUCCACCCAUGGAAACACAAUGGACUGCUCUAACCUUUCUUGAGAAGAGUGUUCUAAUGACAAGGUGGAUCCAUCAAGAAGGCUUUCUCUCAAAUCCCAUCUGAUGUGUCUAAUAUUCUAAUAGAUGCUUUAUCAUUUUGUUAUUUUUUCAUACAUAAUCUGCUGCCUUGGCAAGUAUCUGAAACUCUUCUUUAUGCAUUAAUAAUACAGUGUGAAUAGUUA